rnacentral:rRNA from 1 species
UAAAGGCGGCGACCGGCAAACGGGUGCGGAACACGUACGCAACCUUCCUCAGAGCGGGGAAUAGCCUCUCGAAAGAGAGAUUAAUACCCCAUAGUAUCUUGAAACUGCAUGGUUUUAAGAUUAAAGCUCCGGUACUUUGAGAUGGGCGUGCGGCUGAUUAGGUAGUUGGUAGGGUAACGGCCUACCAAGCCAACGAUCAGUAGCUGAUGUGAGAGCAUGAUCAGCCACACGGGCACUGAGACACGGGCCCGACUCCUACGGGAGGCAGCAGUGAGGAAUAUUGGUCAAUGGAGGCAACUCUGAACCAGCCAUGCCGCGUGAAGGAUGAAGGUCCUCUGGAUUGUAAACUUCUUUUAUAGAAGAAGAAACCCCGGUAUUCUUACCGGGUUGACGGUACUCUAUGAAUAAGCACCGGCUAACUCCGUGCCAGCAGCCGCGGUAAUACGGAGGGUGCAAGCGUUAUCCGGAUUCACUGGGUUUAAAGGGAGCGUAGGUGGGUCUGUAAGUCAGUGGUGAAAUCUCCGAGCUUAACUUGGAAACUGCCAUUGAUACUAUAGAUCUUGAAUACUGUGGAGGUAAGCGGAAUAUGUCAUGUAGCGGUGAAAUGCUUAGAUAUGACAUAGAACACCGAUAGCGAAGGCAGCUUACUACGCAGUUAUUGACACUGAGGCUCGAAAGCGUGGGGAUCAAACAGGAUUAGAUACCCUGGUAGUCCACGCCCUAAA